UGAGGAAUAUUGGUCAAUGGGCGAGAGCCUGAACCAGCCAAGUAGCGUGCAGGAUGACGGCCCUAUGGGUUGUAAACUGCUUUUAUAUGGGAAUAAGGUAGGGGAGUUGUCCCUUUUUCCAGUUACCUUCGGAUAAAGGACGGGCUAUUCCCGUGCCAGCAGCCGCGGUAAUACGGAAGGUCCAGGCGUUAUCCGGAUUUAUUGGGUUUAAAGGGAGCGUAGGCUGUUUGUUAAGCGUGUUGUGAAAUGUAAGAGCUCAACUUUUAGAUUGCAGCGCGAACUGGCAGACUUGAGUGCGCACAACGUAGGCGGAAUUCAUGGUGUAGCGGUGAAAUGCUUAGAUAUCAUGACGAACUCCGAUUGCGAAGGCAGCUUACGGGAGCGCAACUGACGCUAAAGCUCGAAGGUGCGGGUAUCGAACAGG
rnacentral:rRNA from 1 species